ACUCGCUGAAGGGCACGCGGGACGAGGGAGGCGGAGGGAAGCAGAGGCUCCCUGAGGACACGCGCGGCGGCGCGGGGCGCGCGGCCCCGGGAGGAGGGCUGCGGGUGCGUGCGAACGGCCGGCUCCGGCGUUUCUGAGUGACCGCGGAGGCCGGGGAAGUUCCUGCGCAGUGGAAAGCGGCGCGCUACGUCUGUGCCAUGGACCCGGGACCCGAGGAAAUUAAAGCCCCGCCGGGGCCAUCUCCCGACCCCUGGAGUAUCUUAAAUCAAUUAACCUCCGCCGGUCCGAGCCGAGGGUUAACAGCACAACGAUCUGCUUAAGUCCUGUUGAGGGGCAGGAGUGUGCUUCCAACUUCCAAAAACGUCCCACCCGAAUUCCCACCGACCAGCCAGGAAUGUAGUGUUGAUGGAGCCACUGAAACACCUGGAAGUCAGAGUUGACCACAGAGUGAAUGAGUUUGAAACCUGUUUCUGCUAGUGAAAAAAGAAAAGUUACUGUAAUUUCGGCAUAAGUUUAGAGGCAUCCUGGACUGGGGUAGUGAAGAGCCUUACAUUCAAAUCCUGUUUUGUCGAAGCUGUGUGACUUUGAGCAGAUGGCUGAUUCCAGGACUGGAAGAAAGAAGUAAAACAAGAGACUGGAGUCCCUAGUUGUGCCAGAAAACAAGCGGGUGAGUCCUCCUUAUUCCUGAUUUAUGGCAAUCAGCAGUCACUCCUAAUGAUCAGUAAACAAUGUUUUUAAAAUGCAAAGAAUCUCUUUCAAAUUGAACCCAAAAUGACAACUAAUGCUUUUUGUGACCUGAAAAUUGCAACAUUAUAUGUAAUGUUUGGAUAUUGUUCAUCAUCUUUGAAUUCCUCAUGACUUAUAAACCUUUUGCCUAUGGAUAAUUUACAAGAAUAACUUACAACUUAAUUUACAACCUAUUACAUCUGUAGAUUUAAUUAAAUUGUGAGUCCUGCCUCUUAAUUGUAUUGCAU
ensembl:lncRNA